GAUUUAUUGGGCGUAAAGCGAGCGCAGGCGGUUGCUUAGGUCUGAUGUGAAAGCCUUCGGCUUAACCGAAGAAGUGCAUCGGAAACCGGGCGACUUGAGUGCAGAAGAGGACAGUGGAACUCCAUGUGUAGCGGUGGAAUGCGUAGAUAUAUGGAAGAACACCAGUGGCGAAGGCGGCUGUCUGGUCUGCAACUGACACUGAGGCUCGAAAGCAUGGGUAGCGAACAGGAUUAGAUACCCUGGUAGUCCAUGCCGUAAACGAUGAGUGCUAGGUGUUGGAGGGUUUCCGCCCUUCAGUGCCGGAGCUAACGCAUUAAGCACUCCGCCUGGGGAGUACGACCGCAAGGUUGAAACUCAAAGGAAUUGACGGGGGCCCGCACAAGCGGUGGAGCAUGUGGUUUAAUUCGAAGCUACGCGAAGAACCUUACCAGGUCUUGACAUCUUGCGCUAACCUUAGAGAUAAGGCGUUCCCUUCGGGGACGCAAUGACAGGUGGUGCAUGGUCGUCGUCAGCUCGUGUCGUGAGAUGUUGGGUUAAGUCCCGCAACGAGCGCAACCCUUGUUACUAGUUGCCAGCAUUAAGUUGGGCACUCUAGUGAGACUGCCGGUGACAAACCGGAGGAAGGUGGGGACGACGUCAGAUCAUCAUGCCCCUUAUGACCUGGGCUACACACGUGCUACAAUGGACGGUACAACGAGUCGCAAGCUCGCGAGAGUAAGCUAAUCUCUUAAAGCCGUUCUCAGUUCGGACUGUAGGCUGCAACUCGCCUACACGAAGUCGGAAUCGCUAGUAAUCGCGGAUCAGCAUGCCGCGGUGAUACGUUCCCGGGCUUUGCACACACCGCCCGU
rnacentral:rRNA from 1 species